GGGGAAUAAAAUGUACAGAGGAAUAGUGGGAAAGGCCAGGCAUUUUUGGAUUUUCCCAUCCUUAACCAAAACACAAUUUCCAUUUGAUAAGACAAGCCAACUUCCUUUCCUCUCUCCAUAGUGGCAUUUGGAUGAGAACAGUAGAUCUAAUCUCCAUAAUUAAUCUGCACCAACUCCAAAUGCUGUCUAAUCUCUUAAAUGUUUUGUCAAGAUAAAUAGAAUAGAAAAUUGAUUCACAUCCCAGCCUUUUCUCUGAGUUAACAGAAAUUGAAGAGUGGCACAGUAGAUAGAACACUGACAAUAGAUGGAACAUUGAUGAUAGAAUAUUGAAAGUAGAUAGAAUAUUGACAAUAGAUAGAACAUUGACAAUUGUAAAACAUCGACAGUAGAGAGAACAUUGACAAUAGAUAAAAUAUUGACAGUAGAUAGAAUAUUGAUAAUAGAAUGUUGACAAUAGAACAUUGACAGUAGAUAGAAUAUUGAUAAUAGAAUGUUGGCAAUAGAACAUUGACAGUAGACAGAGUGUUGAUAAUAGAAUGUUGACAAUAGAACAUUGACAGUAGACAGAGUGUUGAUAAUAGAAUGUUGACAAUAGAACAUUGACAGUAGACAGAUUAUUGACAAUAGAGCAUUGGCAGUAUGUGGAACAUUGACAAUAGAUAGAACCUUGACAGUAUGACACAGAAGCAGACAAGAGAGCAGUUUAAUGGAAGCAAAAGGCUCAGCAGGGAGUAGAAGGCCAUGAUCCAUAAACAUGAGAAGUCCCCACCUUGGAUCUGAGACUCAAAUGCUAAUUAAAACAGUGUCUGGCGCCAGGCAAUGGUUUCUUGGUUGCACACUGCCACCUACUGGCUGUUUGAGCCAAGACACCAGCAGCCCACCUGCUCUGAUGGAGGCCACUCAUGACUGUACAACCCCGCUCUGUCAACAAGGCCAAAUGUUGCUCUUCAUCUGCCUCUGGGCUGUCCGGUUGCAUCG
rnacentral:sRNA from 1 species